AAGACACAAGAAUAGAAAGGGGAUCGGUUUGGCAACAUGUGCCAUAAGGGGUUCUUCCCAUGGUAAAAAAGAAGUGGCUUGUUUAUUUACCUUGGCUUUUACAUUCACAGCUGUUUGCCAGCCUUUUGCCCUCCCCUAGACAUUCUCACUGAGGGACACGUGACUUGCCAAGGUUUGUACAGUCCAGUGACACUGACCACACUUUUGUGUCUUUGCUUUACCAUAGACGGUGGUCUGACAUCCCUCUCGGUGCACACAGUGCUGUUGAAGCAAGUGAUGACCAAAGGGAUCCCUUAGCUCGCACGAACGCUAAGAUGUGUUCCUUCUCAGAAAUGUGAUUUAACUCAGUCAUGUGGAAUUAUAAAAAGCUGAGGAUGUAAAUCCACAUGAUAAAUAAUAAACCUUUAUCUGAGCUUUCCGCACCAAGUCCAGACAUUUGAACUGUCAGGUAAUCAUUAACACAGCGGAUCAAGACAACUCAGAACAAACUAAUUUGCAAUUUCUUGUGCAUUUCUUUUGGAUAAAACAAAAACAAAGGAGUCUCUCCCCCCAUUCCUGGAGCCAGCACAGAUCAUGUUGUCUGUGAUUCUGAAGGGGUAGUAAUUCCAGCAGCUGGUGAACAAUUCCACCUCCACUGACCUCAGUUCGGGGGAUAAACUCUGGCUGUACAUCCAGCUUGAAGACUUCUAUCUAUUAUCUAGAAUGGAAGAUAAGGAAAGGGAAGGAAAACAACAGGAGGAAGAUGGAAGAGCAGCUGCAACAGUACAACAUCGGAGGGGUUUGGAACAGCCUGAAGAGAAGCUCAGGACAAAAACCAACCCCCCAGGCUGCAGGAGACUUGCGGUGGGUGAAUGACCUAAACAAAUAUUUUAAUAGGUUUGAUCAACCACCCACCCCUCCCCCAGCAUCAUCCCCCCUGCUGCAAUCUCCCUCAUCUUCAGGGACUGCCUGUCUUUCAUCUCAGGACUUCUCAGCUCCCAGCCAUCACACCCACCCCAGGCUUCUGUGAACUCCAACAUACACCCCCCUCCCCCAAAAUCCACUCUUUCUAUCUCAGCACUUCAAGUGAGGAACGAGCUUCGCAAAAUCAAGGUGCGGAAGGCUGCAGGUCCAGAUGGCAUCAGCUCCACACUCCUGAAGUGCUGCGCAGAUGAACUGUCUGGCAUUCUAGGGUAUCUGUUCAACCUGAGCCUGUCGCUGGGGAAAGUACCACAGCUGUGGAAGACCUCCUGUCUGGUACCGGUACCAAAGACCUCCCAUCCCAAGGACCUCAGCAGCUACAGGCCGGUAGCCCUGACAUCACAUCUGAUGAAGACCCUCGAGAGGUUGUCUCUAAACCAUCUGCGGCCCCUGGUGAGGUCUUCAUUGGAUCCGCUGCAGUUUGCUUACCAGCCUGGAAGCACUGUGA